AGAACUCAUGACCCCCUGACUCCCAGGCCUGUGCUCCAGCCAUUGGGCCGCCGCCGUCGCCGCAGAAGAGUGACAACCUCCUCGCUAUCUUAAAGCCCCUCUGGUAGCUCUCUCCCACUACAGGCCGGCUCACGUAUGCGCUCAUCUAAUACCCACCUACUCACUGUCCUUCACUCUCACCUCGUUAUCUGUCAACUCUUCGCUCACGUGUUCCGGAACUCCCUCCCCCUACUUGUCUGACCGACCAGCCCUCUCCCCAUCUCCAGAGUCCUACUGAAAUCCCCUCUCGUCCAGGAAGUCUUCCCUGAUUCAACUCUCAUCCCCUCACCCUAUUGUCCUCCCUACUGCUUCCCCCAUGCGCCGAGGGACACCCGCUAAGCACUUAGGCGCUCACCGCACCCUCACGGCACUUGCAGUCGCAUCCUUAUUCUUGAUUGCUUCCCUUAGCUGUAAUCCGUUUACCGUCUCCCCGUCGGUCUGGAAGUUCCUCGAGGGCAGGGAUCGUGUCUGCCCAAAUGCUUAGUGCGGUGCCGUGCCGCGGGUGCUCGGUAAGCACCGCUGACGGGUAUUUCUUAAGUACUUCGUUAAACGCUGGGGCAGAUUAUACUGCAGUCGUACACCGCAGUCUGCCCCUUAGAGGGUUCGCAGUCUAAGGGAGAGGGAGGACGACUCUUUCAUCUCCACCUUACAGUUCCACGCUCUUGCCAUUGGACUGCACUGCUUCUUCCGCAUUUGAGGAUGACUGGGCCGGCGGUGAGUCCUUCUCCUGGAUAAAGAAUUCAAGACGGUGUGUCCUUCUGCCCAAGCACGUGGUUACGAUGGAGGAACUGUGAAAGCACAGAGCAAUCCAGGAUCCCUCCUGACCCAUCUUUCUAGAAAACGGAGCAAAGAAAGAAACAAGGAAUGGAACCGCAUAUAUGGGCGGCCCUAGGAAUUACCCACUCACAAUCCAGAGUGGGUAAAGGCCUGGCCGCGGUCACCGAGGCUCCCUCUUCUGGCCUCCCGCCUGCUUUCUGCUGCAGUGCCCUGCCCUUGAAGCCCAGAAAACCGGAAGGGAUUGGAAGCGUUCGUCUCGUCCGUCCCCCUGCCCCUGAGAGGCCUGCAUGCGGAUCAUCCCAGACGAGGAUGGAGUCCAACCCAGGAGAAGGGGAGAGGAAUACGCUGGCAUCGUCGCUGAGCAGGAUCCCGGAGGCCUUCACGAUGGGGAAGCACGAGGACCAGAAAAUGGCUUCGCCGGAGACAGAGCUAACAGACCGCAGUGGAGCUUGAGCCACCCCCUAGGCAUACCUGUCUCUGGAUCGGACUGAACAGAGAGCAGCCCUGCCAGACCUACCCUGCUAUGACAAACUGUCCUGAAAUUAGUCAACUAAUCAAUGAAUGACAUUUCUUGAGCGCUUACUGUGUGCAGAGCAUGUACUGAGCGCUUGGGAAAGUACAACACAAACACUUUGGUAGACGCGUUCCCUGCCCCCUGUGGACUGUAAGCUCCCCGUGGGCAGGGAUCAUUUCUAUCAAUUCUAUCGUACCAAGUGCCUGGUAUGGUGCUCUGCACACAAAAAGAGCUCAAUAAAUAUAACUGACUGAUUGAUUGAAAAAAACGCACGGUUGGUGCCUCCGCUCAUAGUUUCUAUGCUUCCCACUAAAAUCCCUUCUCCAUAUUUUUUCUACUUAGGGGUAGGAAACAAGUGAUUAAAGAAGGUUUUCACGGAUUCCAUUCUCCUGGGGGCUAACCUGAUUAUCUCUCAGGAGAGCUCUUGGCCUAGUGGAAAGAGCAUGGGGCUGGAAGUCAGA